rnacentral:rRNA from 1 species
CUAGAAAGCAUCGUGCCGUGCAUCUCGUAGCCUAUUAGGGCCGGAAGGACCCGUGUCAACC